rnacentral:rRNA from 1 species
GUCCAGACUCCUACGGGAGGCAGCAGUGGGGAAUAUUGCGCAAUGGGCGAAAGCCUGACGCAGCGACGCCGCGUGAGGGAUGAAGGUCUUCGGAUCGUAAACCUCUGUCAGCAGGGAAGAACGGUCACUGUGCUAAUCAGCAGUGAAUUGACGGUACCUGCAAAGGAAGCACCGGCUAACUCCGUGCCAGCAGCCGCGGUAAUACGGAGGGUGCGAGCGUUAAUCGGAAUUACUGGGCGUAAAGGGAGCGUAGACGGCCCAGCAAGCCAGGGGUGAAAGCCCGGGGCCCAACCCCGGGACUGCCCUUGGAACUGCAUGGCUGGAGUGCGGGAGGGGCAGGCGGAAUUCCUGGUGUAGCGGUGAAAUGCGCAGAUAUCAGGAGGAACACCGGCGGCGAAGGCGGCCUGCUGGACCGCGACUGACGUUGAGGCUCGAAAGCGUGGGGAGCGAACAGGAUUAGAUUCCCGCGUA